AAGCAGAGGUCAGCUGGGCGGUGUAGGACACUGCUCCUGGGUUGACCAAUGGGCCACAUCAAUGGGUCUGCUGUUUGGGGUCAAGAUCCCAAGACCCCAGGGGAAGUCAACAUCCAUCUGAGGCUCUCUCAGGCCCUGCAAGCCAUCUCUGGCCUCACUGUCCUCCCCUUUAGAAAUGUGGGAAUGAGGCUCAGAGAGGUUGAGCUGCUUGCCAAGUUUGCAUAGCCAAAAGGCGUCUGAACGAAACUGAGCAUUCGGGGUUGGACUUCCCCUCUUCGCCGCCUGCUCUGCUCUCCCAGGCACUACUGAGCGCGCUCGCGGUCGCCAGGAGCGGAUUGGGCCCCCGCCGCGCGCAAGCCUUGGUGACAGGGAAUGGCGCGGAGCUGCCUCUCCCCCGGGAAAGUUGGAUCUGUGCGCCCAGACUUGGAAAAGGGAUUAGGACACCGGCAGAUCUUGCCCUCACAGAGCGGAGGUGGCGGCCUUGGAAGGGGCACACCGCCCGUAGGCGCGAAAUCCAAGAAGAAAAUGACACUCAUCAGCCAGCCUCGCGCGGGGAGAAAGGGCGGGGUGGGGGGGAGUGGCACCCUGCCCGUCCUCUCCCACCCCCACAGUCCAGGCCCACAGUCCAGGAGUCACAAGGGAUGUGAAUCCCCAGGCAUAAUGUGAACCCCCAACAAACCCAAGGCUUCAGAAUGCUCCUCACCUCUCCCUCCCCACCCAGCAGAAACAUCCUCCCACUCUCCCAACCCCUGCUCCAGCCACGCCAACCCUUUAACCUUGUCCCAGAAUGUCUAAACUGUAUCUGCCUCUGUGCCUGUGCACAUGAAGUUGCCUUGGCCCGGAGUUUGCUCCACAGCCUUCUGCCAAACUCCUACUGCUUGAUGGCUGGAAGCCUUCGCACCCUGGCGCUCUCCUCCCAGGUCAGCAGUCACUGGCCUUCCUGUGCAUCCAGCCCCGCUUUGAACAGUCCUGGGCCCCAACCCUUAUCUUUUUCCAAGUAAUUACAUAGUUGCAUGAUUGGCUUCACCGCCUCUGGAUCAGAUGAGCGCCACUAAUGAAGGAUACAAGUUGUAAAACUAGGUUUUAUGUGAACUCCAGUCAUCACAAUUUGGGUGCGGCUAGCGAUUUUACAGAUGAGGGGUUAGUAACUGGCCCAAAUCCAGGGCUUCCGGGAUGCUGUUUUCCUUUUUUGUUUCUUAGCAGGGAUGGCAGAUGUUUGUAGAACAGAUCCGUGUAAAAGUCAGUAUCCUAAGAGAUUAAAUUGUAAAGCAGGACAAGAUAGUUAA